rnacentral:rRNA from 1 species
UACAGAGGGGGCAAGCGUUGUUCGGAAUUACUGGGCGUAAAGGGCGCGUAGGCGGCCUUCUAAGUCGAGCGUGAAAUCCCCGGGCUCAACCCGGGAACUGCGUCGGAUACUGGAUGGCUUGAAUUCGGGAGAGGGAUGCAGAAUUCCAGGUGUAGCGGUGAAAUGCGUAGAUAUCGAGAGGAACACCUGCGGCGAAGGCGGGUUGCUGGGCUGACACUGACGCUGAAGCGCGAAAGCUAGGGGAGCGAACGGG